rnacentral:rRNA from 1 species
CAGCCAGACUCCUACGGGAGGCAGCAGUGAGGAAUAUUGGUCAAUGGCCGCAGGGCUGAACCAGCCAAGUCGCGUGAGGGAUGACGGUCCUAUGGAUUGUAAACCUCUUUUGUCAGGGAGCAAAGGGCACCACGUGUGGCGUUUUGCGAGUACCUGAAGAAAAAGCAUCGGCUAACUCCGUGCCAGCAGCCGCGGUAAUACGGAGGAUGCGAGCGUUAUCCGGAUUUAUUGGGUUUAAAGGGUGCGUAGGCGGAUUUUUAAGUCAGCGGUAAAAUGUCCGGGCUCAACCCGGGCCGGCCGUUGAAACUGGGGAUCUUGAGUGGGCGAGAAGUAUGCGGAAUGCGUGGUGUAGCGGUGAAAUGCUUAGAUAUUGCGCAGAACUCCGAUUGCGAAGGCAGCAUACCGGCGGCGAUCUGACGCUGAGGCACGAAAGCGUGGGUAUCGAACAGGAUUAGAUACCCCAGUA